rnacentral:rRNA from 1 species
GAUGAACGCUGGCGGCGUGCUUAACACAUGCAAGUCGAACGGUGAACGAGGGAGCUUGCUCCCUCCGGAUCAGUGGCGAACGGGUGAGUAACACGUGAGCAAUCUGCCCUGGACUCUGGGAUAAGCGUUGGAAACGACGUCUAAUACCGGAUACGAGGCGUGGGGGCAUCCCCAACGCCUGGAAAGAACUUCGGUCCAGGAUGAGCUCGCGGCCUAUCAGGUAGUUGGUGAGGUAACGGCUCACCAAGCCGACGACGGGUAGCCGGCCUGAGAGGGUGACCGGCCACACUGGGACUGAGACACGGCCCAGACUCCUACGGGAGGCAGCAGUGGGGAAUAUUGCACAAUGGGCGCAAGCCUGACGCAGCGACGCCGCGUGCGGGAUGAAGGCCUUCGGGUUGUAAACCGCUUUUGCUUGGGACGAAUUUUGACGGUACCAAGCGAAUAAGAGGUUGCUAACUCUGUGCCAGCCGCCGCCGUAAAAC